rnacentral:misc_RNA from 1 species
AACGCACAUUGCGCCCCUUGGUAUUCCGAGGGGCAUGCCUGUUCGAGCGUCAUUACAACCCUCAAGCUCUGCUUGGUCUUGGGCCCCGCCGCUCACCCGGCGGGCCUUAAAACCAGUGGCGGUGCCGUCGGGCCCUGAGCGUAGUAAACAUCCUCGCUACAGGGACCCGGUGGACGCUGGCCAGCAACCCCCAACUUCUCAGUUUGACCUCGGAUCAGGUAGGGAUACCCGCUGAACUUAA